GUCCACGCAGUAACGAUGAUCACUAGCUGUUUGCGAUACACUGUAAGCGGCACAGCGAAAGCGUUAAGUGAUCCACCUGGGAGUACGCCGGCAACGGUGAAACUCAAAGGAAUUGACGGGGCCCGCACAAGCGGAGGAACAUGUGGUUUAAUUCGAUGAUACGCGAGGAACCUUACCCGGGUUGAACGCAUUCGGACCGAGGUGGAAACACCUUUCUAGCAAUAGCCGUUUGCGAGGUGCUGCAUGGUUGUCGU
rnacentral:rRNA from 1 species